rnacentral:lncRNA from 1 species
UGAUGACCGGUCGUUUGCUGCCUUGUCGGCCGAGCCUGUGAAUGCGGCUCAUUGAUUUGCACUGUACUUGCAGCUUAUUCCUUAUUACCUCGGCAAGCAUAUCUUCGGAGGAGUGCGUACUGAUCAACGCCGAGCUCGGGUGACUGGCAUGCAAGAGCUUCUACGCAGGAGAAUUCCCCACACUAACUACAGGCCCACUGCACAAAACAGCAUGGGUCCCACAAUUGUGCACUGUGUGACGUCGAGCUCAACAGAGCACCGGAAAGUUCUGCACAGAAGUAUUCGCCACAUAAA